GUGACUGCGUACCUUUUGUAUAAUGGGUCAGCGACUUAUAUUCUGUAGCAAGGUUAACCGAAUAGGGGAGCCGGAGGGAAACCGAGUCUUAAUUGGGCGUUAAGUUGCAGGGUAUAGACCCGAAACCCGGUGAUCUAGCCAUGGGCAGGUUGAAGGUUGGGUAACACUAACUGGAGGACCGAACCGACUAAUGUUGAAAAAUUAGCGGAUGACCUGUGGCUGGGGGUGAAAGGCCAAUCAAACCGGGAGAUAGCUGGUUCUCCCCGAAAGCUAUUUAGGUAGCGCCUCGUGAAUUCAUCUCCGGGGGUAGAGCACUGUUUCGGCUAGGGGGCCAUCCCGGCUUACCAACCCGAUGCAAACUGCGAAUACCGGAGAAUGUUAUCACGGGAGACACACGGCGGGUGCUAACGUCCGUCGUGAAGAGGGAAACAACCCAGACCGCCAGCUAAGGUCCCAAAGUCAUGGUUAAGUGGGAAACGAUGUGGGAAGGCCCAGACAGCCAGGAUGUUGGCUUAGAAGCAGCCAUCAUUUAAAGAAAGCGUAAUAGCUCACUGGUCGAGUCGGCCUGCGCGGAAGAUGUAACGGGGCUAAACCAUGCACCGAAGCUGCGGCAGCGACGUUUAUGCGUUGUUGGGUAGGGGAGCGUUCUGUAAGCCUGCGAAGGUGGCCUGUGAGGGUUGCUGGAGGUAUCAGAAGUGCGAAUGCUGACAUAAGUAACGAUAAAGCGGGUGAAAAGCCCGCUCGCCGGAAGACCAAGGGUUCCUGUCCAACGUUAAUCGGGGCA
rnacentral:rRNA from 1 species